ensembl:snRNA Gm25515 U1 spliceosomal RNA
CUACUCACCUGGCAGGGGUGGGUGGCAUCACAGUCAUGAAGUCAGUUUUCCCAGGCGAGGCUUACCCAUUGCACCCAGUAUUGUUGACCUGAGAUGUCCCCAAAGGUACGAAACCUGACUGCCUAAUUUGUGGUAGUGGAGGACUCUACUCACCCUCUC